UUAUGCUAUGCAUAUGAAUUAUUAUUUCAUUUCAUCCUUAGGAGGCUCUUACCCCUGUCAGAAGGGUAGAGUAAAAUAUUACCAUAGUCUUUCCUCCAGAAAUUGAUGCCCACAGAGGAUGAACUACUUGCCCAAGAUCAAACAUCAGGGAAAGCUUUAGACCCAGAGAGAUAUGGAAAAACAGAGACUAUCCGAUGAACUGAGGCCCAACAAGGCUCACUCCCUGCAACAUCCAGGGCUUGAGCCAAGACCAACCCCCAAAAGCAAUGGGCAGUGGGAAGCCAAGCAGCAGCGACUUCCAACCCAUUUCAUUCCUGCAGAGCUCAGUUUCCUCUCUGAAGUCUUUAAAGAAGCAAGGUUCAAUAGAUAGAUGGAUCAGGGAAAUGUCAUAGCUAUAGUGUCCUUGGAUUUUCCCCAAAACGUAUGAUGACAGAGAUACGCCUUGGGUUUUAAAACUAAAAUGAAUGGAUGUCAAUUUGGAGAAAAGUCUCUAAUGAAGUACUCUUGAGAUCUGUCCUUGGUCCUUUGCCUUUUGUCAUUUUCAUCAGUGAUCUGAAUGAAGCGACAGGUGAUAACGACGAUUGAAUUUAAAACUGGCAGAGCUGGACAUCGUGUCCCAGGGUCAGUAUCCUAAAAACGACCUCAGACACCUAGAACAAGGAGCCAAAUCUAAAAAGGUGAAAUGUGAUGAAGAGAAAUGCAAAGUUCUUUUUUUGGAGUUAAAAAAGAUUAAUUAUCCAAGUGCAGGAUAAGGAGAGGGGGCUGGUCAGCUCUGUGUGUGUGUGUGUGAGAAGACUGGUGAGGUUUAUCUGACUGCAAGCUCACUAUGUUGAGGACAUGUUAAAGAACAUAACAAAUUCAUCCUGAGGCUGCAGAAAGAGAAGCCCAGGGUUGAAAAAAGAGGGAGGUCAGAGCCCUCUGCUGUGAUCAGACUACGUGUGGGUAUCGUGUCUGGUUCAAAAUGCCAUAGUUUAGGAGGGUCAUUGACAAGCACAUUCCGAGGAUGGUGAACAGGAUGCUGAGGGGACUGGAGACCAUGCCAUGUAAGGAUUCACCGAAGCAACAUGGGAUUUUUCAUCUGAGGAAGACUUGGGAAAGGGGAGGGACAGUGGUGGGACAUGAUAGCUAUCUUCAAGUACUUGGAGUGCUCUCAUUGGAAAAGGAAUUAAAUACUCCUGCUUGGCAAUAGAUCUAGGAGUGAUGGGUGGAAAUUACAAAAAGGAAAAUUUUAAGAAAAAUGUCCUAAUAAGUAGGAGGUAGUACAGUGGGGAUUCCUGUUCAGAGAAGAGCUGGACUAGAUAUCUUUUGAAGUCUCUUCUAGUUCUGAGCUCCUGUGUCCUGUCCCCCAGGUCUCUUCCUGAAGAGUGUGU
rnacentral:lncRNA from 1 species